rnacentral:lncRNA from 1 species
CAGGCAACGGCCAAUGGCUUCUACAAUCCCUUUCAUCCUGGACAGUCCAGUGUUGUGAUACCCUGACACCAAGACCCUUCCUUGGUUGUCUGGCACAGUGCUGCCACAUACCAUCUCAGGAACUUUCAUUUAUUUCCCUUUGUGUCCAAACAUCAGAAAGGCUUUCUGAGUUGCUUGCCAAGGUGUUCUUCAGCCUUCCCUAGGCUAAACUUCUCCAUUGGAUCAAUAGCAGGUGGUCAACAAAGACAAAAACACCAUCUUCAGAAUGACUCAGAUCAUCCUCUUGGGCAGCCCUUUUUGGAUAUCUCUAUGAAAUUCUGCAGCUGAAAGCUGACACGCAUAAUUAUUUCCUGUUAGAUACUGAAGAAAAAAAAAAGCCCAGGAGAUAUUGUCGAGACUGUUUCUGGGGUGUGAUUGGGGGAUAGGAGAUGAAUGUCAUGAUUGAAGCAGCAGAGUUGAAGCCUCAAAAAUAAGGGCCAUGGAUAAUUGAGAGACCUCAGAUGGUGUCAGAAUUGGAACAUGAAGUAGAACUUCCAGUAACCCCUAGGAGCAUCAAGUGACCCAGAGAGGUAACCCCCUCCACCAGGGUCCAUUGCAUCCAUUGCUCUCUCACAGCAACUGAGGCUCAUGGGACUGGAGUGGAGUCGGUAGGAAGGAACAGUCUUUGAAGUUAGAUGCGCCAGGUUGUAACCCCACUUCCACCAAUUGUGGUAACUUUGUGAGACAAGCCUCAAAUUUUACCACUGUACCAAGAAAUGAAAGCCAGAAUGUGGAAUUGGAGCUGGUAAUGACGACGUCAGGACAGGUUCAAAGGAAGCCCAUCACUUGAGUAAAAAUUUAUAGCCCUGCUUGUGCUGUGCUGUGCUGUGCUGUGAGUUUCAGUUCCGGGCCAGCAAAAGAUUUAUCAAAGGAAAGCAACAAGGUGUGUGGAAAUAGAAGGUAAGAAAAAUUAAUUUCAGAGAGGAAAAUAAAGUUGCUUGAGGGGCUCUUCAAUGACCAAAGGCCAUAAGAGACUGGAAGGCAAAAGGACCCAUUAAUGUAAUCCAAACAUCAGUCUCCUGCAGCAAAGAGGUGAAUGGAGAAGGGUGGAGAGUAGCUGUGGACGAGUGAAAAAGACAUCGCACCAUGUCUUCAAAUUACAUCCAGCAACUUCAUAUGAACUAUGAAACCCUUGUUGCCACAAUAGUCCCUCUUUGUUUGAACUACUACAAGAAUAAAGAAAUUUCU